UCAUAUGUAUGCAUACAAAUGAUAUAUAUUUACAUAUUAUAUAUUAAAUAUAUAUUAUACUAUCUGCAUUCUAUGUCAGUUUUUUUUAAAAGAAAUUAAGAGUCUCAAAUACAAUGGUGAACAUUGUUUGCUGACACAAUCUUUCCUAAACCAGAAAACAACACAGCGAACAUUAACUUAGGAGCAUCCUUCGACUCCCAUUUCAAACACAUCUUAAUGGUCAAAGACUCAGACCUCUACUCUGCAGCUGUCUCCCAUUGGCUGGUUACUUAAUGCUAAGUCUCUGAGAAAGGGGUCUUCCAGGCCCUAGAGUAGGACAGAAGGAAGUGGGGGGCUGGCGAUGCCUCAAGUUAGAGGGCCCGAUGCACGGGAGAUGGCGGAGCUUUUUGAGGCACAUCUGUGUAAUAAAAAGCCUAUGGUUGGCUUAGGUCACUGCCAGAAAAAGGGGGUCCUGCAGUGCCCCCAAUUUCAGAGUGACAUCAGGGAAAGCGCCUUCAUGAAUGCGUUUUUCUCUGCAGUAGAAUGGAAUUGGGGCCCCUGGAACCACUAGUGCCCGUGAUUGAGUGGCCUUCAAGUGGUCUGUGCCUUCUGAAGCCAAGCCAGAGACAGCCCCAAGUUUUAGAAGGCAUCUCCGCCUCUUUUGGUCCCACACGCCAGCUUUCUUGUGGGCACAGAAAGGGUUAACUCCAUGCCCCUGGACUAUUCCAUUAGUCCAGAGUGGACGGGGUUUAGCAGGUCUCUGAUUGGAGGAGCUGCUCUGAUGGGCGUGGCCAAAUGUUUUGCUAACGGCCAGAGGAGAGCAGUUGGUAGUUAUUUUGCAGGAGGCUUUUCUCAGGGAUGAAGGCAAGCUGGCCUCUAGCUGAUCAGCUGGUUGGUGAGGACUCCUCAGGAAGUCAGGGAUCAUUGUGAAGAUGGAAGAACGCCCACAAGGUCCAGGUUGUGCCUGCAGGCCCUGAGCAUCCUGCUGGCUCAGCUGUGGUAACCAAGGAGCAUCUCAGGCCCACAGUCAGUGGGGUCAUACCCCACACGUUGGGGCAGCUGCUGGGCAGAUCUCCAUUGUUUUUCCUUUGUGUUUCUUCUGUCCUACCCAGAAAGUUAACCUAUUUGUGGAGAGCUGUGACCCAAUGGCCUGGUCCAGUAGGUAAGUCAAGCGCUCAUGGUCAGCUAUCAAGCUCUAACAAAGUGUCAAGGCAGUCCCUGAAUCCAUAGCACCACUUUGUGAAGAACUAAGAAGCCAACCUUGAGGGACCACUCACCCCAAGAAGACUUUGUUCUGAGCUGAUGUCUCCCCAGCCUGGUGCCUUCCCUUUAUCCGAAAGAAGAUCUGUUAGGAUGAUUGGAACUUUGGUUCUUCCUGUUCACCCUCUGCCCUCUCUCCAGCCCCCUGCCUUAGACAGCAGAAGGAAAGAAAACUCAGCCCUCAGAGGUGGGAUCCUUCGGAAGGACCAACAGCGUGCUAGCUCUCCUGUGGUUGGGAGCCGGAAGUGGGGCAGUGCCUUUGGUUUGGCUCCUUGUCCAGAGCUGAGCUUUAUCACAGAGGUCUUCCCGCUUACCAUCAACAUUGAAACUUACCUCUUCGCUUGGGUGUAUUCUCCCUCUUUUGUGCACAGUUUGGUUCCUCCGAACUGCUCUCCCUGUGAAGGCCUGUGGAAUGCAGGGAGCCUGGCCAGCCACCCAGGCCCGUUACAAAGGCCCCACGUCCCACCGGAUGGAGGAGGGGGACCCAAUAAAGACUUUGCAAAAUGCU